UGCCUUUUCUUUGAGUAGCUGUCCG
rnacentral:miRNA from 1 species